GCAUGCAGUGCCCUUCACAAGGAGCUGUCAUUCAUGUCAACUAAAAUAUGAAUGUCACCUUCUUGAGAAGAGUAAUGUACAG
rfam:Callithrix jacchus chromosome X, whole genome shotgun sequence